AAAAAGAGUCUGUUUUAAUAUACAUCCCACCUUCACAUUGUGGUGGACGUCCACUCCAGGUCCCGUCAGACUGACAGCCGAGUAUCUCCGCCCUCAUGCUGAUGUGACGACGCCAGGUCAGAACCACGAAGCGCACAUAACGGGCAGCAACGGCGGGGACUAGGAGAUUUGUUACAGGGGUGUCCAUAUGCGUGUUGCCUGGAAAGAUCUGAAAGACAAAGAAAUAAAAACAGUGAAAAACUU